CCACAGGGCCCUAGGGCGGUGUGGCGUUUGCUGUGAUUCUUUGCUUUGCUCCCCCACGUCUCACCCGCGGCGGUGAUUCACACGGGACAGCGACGGACAGCCCGCACGGCUGGGCUCCAGCCGACAGGCUUGGGAUUAUGAAAAUGCUGAAAACGCUUCAACUCAGACAAAAGUUAUAAAUAAAAAAGAUAAAAGAAAGAACCAUCAGGGAAAGGACAAACCUCUCACGGUGUCACUCAAAGAUUUCCAGUGUGAAGAUCAUAUUAGUAAAAAGACAGAGGAAUCGAAUUCUUCUCAGCCUUUAUCACAUGAUGGAGAAAGCAAGAAAUGGACAAUUACUGAAAAUGCUUCAGGAGGGAGAGAUGAAAGAUAAGGCUGAGAUCCUUCUGCAAGUGGAUGAAUCUCAAAGCAUCAAGAAUGAGCUGACAGUCCAGGUGUCUUCGCUUCACGCCGCAUUGGAACAAGAAAGAUCUAAAGUGAAAGUAUUACAGGCAGAAUUAGCCAAAUAUCAGGGUGGCAGGAAGGGGAAAAGGAACUGCGAGCCGGACCAGUGUAGGUGAUCGUGGCCAUGGGGGCCAGCACAGAAAGCUUUCACACUUCUGCAGAAAUGUGUGUCUAAUGCUGCAACUGCGAAACUGCAGCCUUUGUUGAAGGAACUAAAGCACCUAGUUCACUCAUAGUCUACAAUUUUAUGUUCUUUUGGCUUAAAGUUAAAAGAAAAUAUGGAAUACCAGCAGAACUUGAUAAUUGUUUUCUGUCCAAACUUCUUAGGACUUUAGUUUUUCAUCAGUCAAUAAAAUUAAUUUACUCUUC
rnacentral:lncRNA from 1 species